UGUCAUGGCCACUUGUCUCUGUAUAUAAAGGGAGUGAUGGGGGUGCUGCUUUGGACGAAUGGACCUGGGGUGGGGGAAAGGGGCAGCAGACAGAGGCUGCCUUGGCAAGAAGAUCUCUGCUGUUGGCCAGAAAUCGGAAAUGUAAGAAGAUGGCGAAGUACCAUAGAUGUAAGUGUUCAGUAUGCCGUGUGAAGGAUUCACUACAGAGAAAAAAAUCAAAGAAGUUAUGCCAGAAAAAGAACAGGAAGACAAGUCAGCAGCAUAAGGCAAUGCCCUGGUUGAAGACACUGCUUGACAUCUUGUUUUUCCAUGUCGUGUUUUCUCCCAUGGCCAGGAAAAAGAAAAGCCUCUCUUGGUGCAGGCCCAAGACCACCAUGAUCAUCGUUGAUUUUACAUCUCCACCCCAGGGUGUCUAAGUAAAAUCUCUCUCCUUUCACUGAAGAAUGUGUUUUGUGUGUUUUUGCUCAGCUGAAAGGCUCAGUGCACAUUCACAUCUGUCACCAGCAAGAAUGGGCUUGGGUGUCACUGGAAACAAGGAGAACAGAAUCUAAGAAUUCUUAAGCCCAGAGAAAGCUCUGACUUCCCCAUUUUCUCUGAGACUUCACACUAGAUCUUUUAACUUGGUAAACUUUGAAUUUGGUAAACAGCUGAUUUUCAAACCUUGAGGGUUCCCCCCCCAUGUCAAGGCCAUUCCUCCAGAACACCAGGGGGAGCUGUUGUGCUGCCCAGUCCCAGCACCAAGAUGGUUCCUAAGCCAAGGAUGGCUAUGGACAUAUGUAUAUGCAAACCAUCAGGACCCAAGUACCUAGGAUGUACCAGUCAUAGAGAUAGAAUAUUUGAAACUGGUCAGUCCUAGAGUUUCCAGAACCAUGGUGGCCAAUAUCCAUGGAGGGAAAUGUAGUUUCUAUCACAUCUGUAAGCUGCUGCCUCCCCAGACUUCCCCCUUUCACUCUAAUCCCCUGCUGUAAGUGUUUUGAUUCUUGAUGAGGUCUGCAGAUAAAAUAAGUGAAAAAUGAAUCUAUCCUGAAGUAUUAAAAGGAGAGCAUCUCAGAAGGAAGAGAUGAAGAGAGAAACAUCGCUACCACCAUAUGGCUUACAUUCCAUGCCUGCCACUUCCUAAAAUGUCUGAAUAAUAGAUAUUUUCCAAGGGCCUUAGACCUGGGGCUGAGACAGCCCGUGCUCAAUAAAUACUUGCUGAAUGGAGGAAUGACUCCAGUUUCGGGGCUGGUCUUGCCACUCUCUGACCACUUGAUCCCUCUGGGUACUAGUGGAUGGGAGGAGGAAGUGAGAUUCCACUACCUACUCAGU